rnacentral:lncRNA from 1 species
UUCGCCCGUCUUCCGUCGGCGGCUCCGCGUUUUUCUGCACGGAUUCUUCCCCUUACGCCCCGUACGACGCCUUCACCGCCCUCCUGCUGCGCCCCGCCGGGCUCCGUUUGGCCGGGCCCCGAAUCCCUCGUCCCCUCCUCCUCCUCGUUGCCCACGUCAACGCCGUCCUUUGGGCUUUGGCCCGGUUCCUCCCUCCUCCGUUCCGCCCCGCUGCCGCCCCGUUGUUGCUGCCCCAAACCGCCGCCGCCGCCGCCACCCCGUUCACGGCCGCCAGCAGCGCCGCCAGGCGACGCUUCGGGUAUCGCCCCCGGGUGGCAUGGAGGACCGCCAGGCGUCGCACCGCCGCUUGGCUGAAGGGGCUGCAGUGAUGGCAGCCACCCCUUGGCACCCAUUGUAAUGCAUAGGCACCCAUUAAAACCCAUUGAAGCCCAUUGGCACCCAUUAUAACCCACUGGCCCCCAUUGGCCCCCAUUGCCCCCCACUGGCACCCAUUGGCCCUCAUUGCCCCCAUUGGCACUCGUAACCCACUGUAACCCGUUGGCACCCAUUGUAACUCAUUGGCACCCAUUGGCACCCAUUGUAAUCCAUCGGCACCCAUUAUAACCCACUGGCCCCCAUUGGCACCCAUUGGCCACCAUUGGCCCCAUUGGCCCCCAUUGCCCCCAUUGGCCCUCAUUGCCCCCUAUUGGCACCCAUUGCCCCCUAUUGGCACCCAUUGCCCCCCAGUGACCCCCAUUGAAAUCCAUUGACACCCAUUGUCUCUCAUUGGCCCCCAUUGGCCCUCAUUGUAACCCAUUGCCCCCCAUUGGCACCCAUUGUAAGCCAUUGGCACCCAUUGCCCCCGUGUGGCCUGGAGGACCGCCAGGCGUCGCACCGCCGCUUGGCUGAAGGGGCUGCAGUGAUGGCAGCCACCCCUUGGCACCCGUUGGCACCUAUUGUGGCCCAUUGGCACCCAUUAAAACCCAUUAAACCCCAUUGGCACCCAUUGUAAUCCAUUGGGACCCAUUAUAAUCCACUGGCCCCCAUUGCCCCCCAUUGGCACCCAUAGGCCCCUAUUGGCACCAAUUGCCCCCCCACUGGCACCCAUUGGCCCUCAUUACCCCCAUUGCCCCCCAUUGGCACCCAUAGAACCCAUUGGCACCCAUUGGCACCCAUUGUAAUCCAUCGGCACCCAUUAUAACCCACUGGCCCCCAUUGGCACCCACUGUAACUCAUUGGCACCCACAGAACCCAUUGGCACCCAUUGGCACCCAUUGGCACCCAUUGUAACCCAUUAGCACCCAUAGAACGCAUAGGCAUCCACUGGCCCUCAUUGCCCCCAUUGGCACCCAUUGGAAAUCAUUGGCACCCAUUGUUUCUCAUUGGCACCCAUUGUAACCCAUUGCCCCCCAUUGCCC